rnacentral:rRNA from 1 species
GACGAACGCUGGCGGCGUGCUUAACACAUGCAAGUCGAACGGUGAAGCGAGUGCUUGCACUCGUGGAUCAGUGGCGAACGGGUGAGUAACACGUGAGUAACCUGCCCAUCACUCUGGGAUAAGCACUGGAAACGGUGUCUAAUACUGGAUACGACCAACCCUUGCAUGGGGUGUUGGUGGAAAGAUUUAUCGGUGAUGGAUGGACUCGCGGCCUAUCAGCUUGUUGGCGGGGUAAUGGCCCACCAAGGCGACGACGGGUAGCCGGCCUGAGAGGGUGACCGGCCACACUGGGACUGAGACACGGCCCAGACUCCUACGGGAGGCAGCAGUGGGGAAUAUUGCACAAUGGGCGAAAGCCUGAUGCAGCGACGCCGCGUGAGGGAUGACGGCCUUCGGGUUGUAAACCUCUUUCAGCAGCGAAGAAGCGAAAGUGACGGUACCUGCAGAAGAAGCACCGGCUAACUACGUG